AUCCAGCUGACGAUUCCCAAAUAGGACAAAAUGCCCAUCCUGGAU
rfam:Trichobilharzia regenti genome assembly, scaffold: TRE_scaffold0036624